UCUAUUCCUAAUCUCAUUUCAGGGAGAGAAAACGGAAAAACAAAAUCACAAACUCAAAAAUUGUUUGAAAUUAAAACAAAAAUUUUUUAAAAAAGCCCCAAAAUCAGUCCCUUCAUCACGCGUUUUCCUUCCUUCUUCUUCUUCAUCCUCCUCGGCUCCUCCAUUUUCUUUCCUCUCUGUAUUUGCAGAGAAGCUCACAUUCCUUCCCUUUCCCUCCAAAUUUUCCAUUCUCUGUGUUUCAAAUUUCGUUAUCUAUGUCACAGAUCCAUGGGAGGGAGAGACCCUCUAAUCUCUGUUAAUUCCUCUCUGUUUCCAGAUCCGUACCAACGCAGUUCACCUCAGCUCACCUAAUCUCUUCCAGCGCCUCAAUUCGCUGCCGUCCGCUCAGAAAACAUACAUCCCACCGGCUCUUCUUGAUCAAAUUCCUCCAUGAAGACCACGUCCCGGUUCUUCACGAUCGGUCUAGUGACCGCCUGGUACUCCUCGAAUAUUGGGGUUCUGUUGCUGAACAAGUAUUUGCUAAGCAAUUACGGAUUCAAGUACCCGAUCUUCCUUACCAUGUGUCAUAUGACUGCUUGUAGUUUGCUUAGCUAUAUAGCCAUUGCAUGGAUGAAGAUGGUCCCUAUGCAGACAAUUCGUUCUCGCCUUCAAUUCCUCAAGAUCUCCGCCUUGAGUCUCGUCUUUUGUGUAUCGGUCGUGUUUGGUAACAUUUCUUUGAGGUUCCUUCCCGUCUCUUUCAAUCAGGCUGUAGGUGCUACGACACCGUUUUUUACUGCUGUUUUCGCUUAUUUGAUGACCCUUAAGAGGGAGGCUUGGCUUACUUAUGUCACCUUGAUUCCAGUCGUUACUGGAGUAAUUAUUGCCAGUGGGGGUGAACCAAGUUUUCAUCUAUUUGGGUUUAUAAUGUGCAUUUCUGCUACAGCUGCAAGGGCACUCAAAUCAGUGCUACAAGGGAUUUUGCUAUCUUCCGAGGGGGAGAAGCUGAAUUCUAUGAACCUUCUUCUAUACAUGGCUCCUAUAGCUGUUGUCUUUUUACUUCCGGCAACUCUUAUCAUGGAAGACAAUGUGGUUGGUAUUACACUGGCUCUUGCCAGAGACGAUAUCAAGAUUGUUUGGUACCUACUAUUCAACUCAGCGCUAGCAUAUUUUGUAAAUUUGACCAAUUUUUUGGUCACAAAACACACCAGUGCUUUGACUUUACAGGUAUUCCUUGUUUUCAUCGACAUGCUUCAAUUGUUUGUUCCCCUUCCAAACACAUGAUGAUGCCAUAGAAUUAUAAUGCUUGUGCGUGCUUUGAAGAGUGGUCUUUAAGAAAGCAGUUAUUUCCCUCUAUCUGAAAAACAGAAGGUAGAGUGCCUUUUUAGGGCGUUAAAUUUAUCCAAAGUAAAGCAUGAAAUUAUAAGAAUCUAAACAAAUUUGAAACUUCUUUCGCACAUCUUUUCCAUUUGCUGCUUAUGGAAUAGACAGUUUCUGGUGCUUGUUCAAAAGUUUAAACUCUGAAGGAAAUGUUGAUGGAUUAUAAGAAUUUGAAUGUUUGCAUAAUUUUUGCAUGUUAUUGGUCAGAUUGGUCUUAUUUAGGUAAUGAGACUAGCAACAUCCAUCCAGAGAGUAUGAUGCAACUUUAGUCUAUUGAAAAUUUAGAUUCACAACUGCUGUUGCAGUCUGGAACAUGUCCUACAGUCCUAGAGGAUUUUAUAUUGUAAAGCUGGCUAAUUUGCUGAAAUUUAUUGAAUAAUGUGUUUGAUCAAUGAUUGGUGGUGUUAUUGUGAAUUUUGCAGAUAUUCUUAUCAGCUAACAAUUUCAGUUGCCUCUUUUUCUUGGUCCAUUUUGUUCCCAUUUCUUUCCCCAAAAAUUUUCAAAUUUUAUUCGUUAUGGUUUUCCCUCAUUUGUUGUUUCUAUGGUUGUUCUUUUCCUGGUACUUUGGAUCAAUAUCUAAUUUGAUGAACAGUGAUUCAAGCCUAAUCCGGAAUUAUUGAUCUGAUCAAGUUUUCAAAAGUUUUAUUUAUGAAUUUGGGAUUGUUACAGUUGAAUUUCUAUUUAGGUAAGAGAAAUGUAAUGACAACAACAAAAGUUGUGUUUGUGGCAUUAGCUUGUUGGGCUAGACUGCUGAUAGCUAUACGUGGAAGUUAAUUUUUUAGUGUUUGAGGAACUCUACUGACUGGUCCAUUGGAAGCUGAGAGAGAAUGAUAAACCAAUUUUGUUUUAAGAAGCCCUAUGCGACACCAAAAGAGAAUAUGAUGCGAAAAAGAGAAUAUGAUGUGAAUUCAUUAAGUGCGAACAAAAUAUUAAUGGUCUGUACCACUGAGAAGUGGUUUUGUCAUAAGUUGAAAGGAAGGAGAGGACAAGAGAAUGACAGCAGAUUUGCAGGUUAAGCAAAGUUAUAAUGUCGUGGGGUCUCUUUUGCUGUUUGUGUCAUGCCCAUAAAGAUUUUUCAAAUCACAUUUAGAAGUGAAUUUAUCAUGUUGAGAUUAUGAUGUCGUAACUUUUUAUUGAUUAUCUUUGUUGUUUAUGAAUCCCUUUUUACUGUAGAAGGUAUACAAACCAUCUUUACUUUACCACCAGUCUCGAGAUCAACUGAAUUACUGUCUGUCAUGA
rnacentral:misc_RNA from 1 species